CGUGCCGCGCUAGGCUAGGGUUCCUCUUUCUCUUUUUCUUCUAAAAACUGUCUAGGCCAUUAGGGUUUUCUAAUUUGGGCCAUAUUAGACCAUUGUAAAUUUGGGCUAUUUGUUGUAAUGGACUUGGACUUUAAUUAUUUUCUAGUUUUUUUUUCUGUUUGGUUUUUUUUUGUUUGGGCCCAGACGAAAUUGGUCCCUUAGAGCUGCCCCUCUUUACACGUUGUCGUGUAACGAGAAUGGAGUAAAGACUUUUAAGAAGGACCAAUUUUGUCCGGUCUCGCCGAAUCUCGUCCUUUUUGGUGCUCCUCUUUUUCAAGUAACUUCAUUCUACCCCAC
rnacentral:lncRNA from 1 species